GUGCUCGCUUCGGCAGCACAUAUACUAAAAAUUGGAAUGAUACAGAGAUUAGCAUGGCCCCUGCACAAGGAUGACAUGCAAAUUCGUGAAGCAUUCCAUAUGUUA